GCCUGGGUGGCUCAGUCGGUUAAGCGUCUGUCUUUGGCUCAGGUCAUGAUCUCACAGUUCCAGUUCAUGGGUUCGAGCCCUGUGUCAGGCU
rnacentral:tRNA from 1 species